AGCUUUGCGCAGUGGCAGUAUCUCAGCCAAUGAGGUUUAUCCGAGGUGCGAUUAUUGCUAAUAGAAUUAGGACAUGAUGAUUGGAACUCAGCUUUCUUUUACGUGAAGUAACCUUGUGAAUGGAAGUUUCAAAUCAAA